GAUUGUAUAGCUCAGUGGCAGAGCGCAUGCUUAGCAUGCGUGAGGCCCUGGGUUCAAUCCCCUGUACCUCCA
rnacentral:tRNA from 1 species